CCUACGGGAGGCAGCAGUGGGGAAUAUUGGGCAAUGGACGCAACCCUGACCCAGCAACGCCGCGUGAAGGAAGAAGGCUUUCGGGUUGUAAACUUCUUUUCUGAGGGACGAAGAAAGUGACGGUACCUCAGGAAUAAGCCACGGCUAACUACGUGCCAGCAGCCGCGGUAAUACGUAGGUGGCGAGCGUUAUCCGGAUUUAUUGGGUGUAAAGGGUGUGUAGGCGGGAAAGCAAGUUAGUAGUGAAAACUCAGGGCUCAACCCUGGGCCUGCUUCUGAAACUGUUUGUCUUGAGUGCUGGAGAGGCAAUCGGAAUUCCGUGUGUAGCGGUGAAAUGCGUAGAUAUACGGAGGAACACCAGUGGCGAAGGCGGAUUGCUGGACAGUAACUGACGCUGAGGCGCGAAAGCGUGGGGAGCAAACAGGAUUAGAUACCCGAGUAGUC
rnacentral:rRNA from 1 species